rnacentral:rRNA from 1 species
UACGUAGGGGGCAAGCGUUGUCCGGAAUUAUUGGGCGUAAAGAGCGCGUAGGCGGUCCGAUAAGUCGGCUGUGAAAGUCCAGGGCUCAACCCUGGAAAGCCGGCCGAUACUGUCGGACUAGAGUCCGGAAGAGGCAAGUGGAACUCCUGGUGUAGCGGUGGAAUGCGCAGAUAUCAGGAAGAACACCAACGGCGAAGGCAGCUCGCUGGGACGGUACUGACGCUGAGACGCGAAAGCGUGGGGAGCGAACAGG